rnacentral:rRNA from 1 species
CAAGUCGAACGCGAAAGCCUCCUUCGGGGGGCAAGUAGAGUGGCGCACGGGUGAGUAACACGUAGGUAAUCUACCUUUGGAUUGGGAAUAACCACGGGAAACUGUGGCUAAUACCGAAUAAUGCAGCGGCACCUAAUGGUGACAGUUGUUAAAGCGGGGGAUCGCAAGACCUCGCGUCUAAAGAGGAGCCUGCGGCGGAUUAGCUAGUUGGUAAGGUAACGGCUUACCAAGGCUAUGAUCCGUAGCCGGCCUGAGAGGGCGGUCGGCCACACUGACACUGACAUACGGGUCAGACUCCUACGGGAGGCAGCAGUCGGGAAUUUUGGGCAAUGGGCGAAAGCCUGACCCAGCAACGCCGCGUGAAGGAUGAAAUCCCUCGGGAUGUAAACUUCGCAAGAACGGGAAGAAUUAGUAAGAGUUAAUAUCUCUUAUGAUGACGGUACUGUUUGUAAGCUCCGGCUAACUCCGUGCCAGCAGCCGCGGUAAUACGGGGGGAGCAAGCGUUGUUCGGAUUUACUGGGCGUAAAGGGCGGGUAGGCGGCCACCGCAAGUCGACUGUGAAAUCUCCGGGCUUAACCCGGAAAGGUCAGCCGAUACUGCGGGGCUAGAGUGCAGAAGGGGCAACUGGAAUUCUCGGUGUAGCGGUGAAAUGCGUAGAUAUCGAGAGGAACACCUGCGGCGAAGGCGGGUUGCUGGGCUGACACUGACGCUGAACUGCGAAAGCUAGGGGAGCGAACGGGAUUAGAUACCCCGGUAGUCCUAGCCUUAAACGAUGAAUGCUUGGUGUCUGGGGUUUUAUAGUCCCCGGGUGCCGUCGCUAACGCUUUAAGCAUUCCGCCUGGGGAGUAC